rnacentral:SRP_RNA from 1 species
GCCGGGCAUGGUGGCACAUGCCUGUAAUCCCUACUACUUGGGAGGCUGAGACAGGAGAACUGCUUGGACCCAGGAGGUUGAGGUGGCAGUGAGCAGAGAUCAUGCCACUGCACUCCAGCCUGGAUGACAGAGUAAGACUCUGUCUCAA